ensembl:lncRNA
GUGGUGUUGGUGUGAAGGUUGUAGGAGGUGAUGAAGGUGAGGGUGUUAGAGGUGGUGUUGGUGUGAAGGUUGUCGGAGGUGAUGAAGGUGAGGGUGUUAGAGGUGGUGUUGGUGUGAAGGUUGUAGGAGGUGAUGAAGGUGAGGGUGUUAGAGGUGGUGUUGGUGUGAAGGUUGUAGGAGGUGAUGAAGGUGAGGGUGUUAGCGGUGGUGUUGGUGUGAAGGUUGUAGGAGGUGAUGAAGGUGAGGGUGUUAGAGGUGGUGUUGGUGUGAAGGUUGUAGGAGGUGAUGAAGGUGAGGGUGUUAGAGGUGGUGUUGGUGUGAAGGUUGUAGGAGGUGAUGAAGGUGAGGGUGUUAGCGGUGGUGUUGGUGUGAAGGUUGUCGGAGGUGAUGAAGGUGAGGGUGUUAGAGGUGGUGUUGGUGUGAAGGUUGUAGGAGGUGAUGAAGGUGAGGGUGUUAGAGGUGGUGUUGGUGUGAAGGUUGUAGGAGGUGAUGAAGGUGAGGGUGUUAGAGGUGGUGUUGGUGUGAAGGUUGUAGGAGGUGAUGAAGGUGAG